GAUGAACGCUGGCGGCGUGCCUAACACAUGCAAGUCGAACGAAGCGCCUGGCCCCGACUUCUUCGGAACGAGGAGCCUUGCGACUGAGUGGCGGACGGGUGAGUAACGCGUGGGCAACCUGCCUUGCACUGGGGGAUAACGAGCCAGAAAUGGCUGCUAAUACCGCAUAAGACCGAAGCGCCGCAUGGCGCGGCGGUCCAAAGCCCCCGGACGGUGCAAGAUGGGCCCCGCGUCUGAUUAGGUAGUUGGCGGGGUUAAACGGCCCCACCAAGCCGACGAUCCAGUAGCCGACCUGAGGA
rnacentral:rRNA from 1 species